rnacentral:rRNA from 1 species
CAGUAGCCGCGGUAAUACGAGGGGGGCAAGCGUUGUUCGGAAUUAUUGGGCGUAAAGGGCGCGUAGGCGGUUUGGCAAGUUUGGUGUGAAAUCUUCGGGCUCAACUCGAAGUCUGCAUCGAAAACUGCCGGGCUUGAGUAUGGGAGAGGUGAGUGGAAUUUCCGGUGUAGCGGUGAAAUGCGUAGAUAUCGGAAGGAACACCUGUGGCGAAAGCGGCUCACUGGACCAUUACUGACGCUGAGGCGCGAAAGCUAGGGGAGCAAACAGGAUUAGAUACCCGUGUAGUCCCUGUCUCUUAUAC